AAAAAAUACUAGAAAAAUUCAAAAAAAUCAGGAGAGAGUCCCUUUUAAGUGAAAAAUCCCUUUGUGUCAUCCUCUUUUUCUCUCUCAUGAGGCGUGCGCGCUCUACUGAACCUGCUGCGCUUGCUGCUGCUGUCAAGUUUUUCCAGGCAUGCGUGCUCUACUGAACCUGCUGCGCCUGCUGGUGAAACUUCUUCUCUGUUUCCCCUGAGAACUCUCUGUGUUUCCCCUAAGAAUCUCUUCGACUGGUAUCAAGCAUAGAUGCUAUUGGUUUGCUUACUGGGGUGGGAGACAUAGAAGAUAAAACGAAGGAUGGAAAACCAAAGAAGAAAAUAGAACUUGAGGUUGAAGGCUUGGGAUGCAGUUCCUAGCAUUGGCGCUACAGAUGAAGGAGACCCGGUAAAUUCUUUCCAGGGCAUAAUAGUAGAUCGAGCACUAAAAGGGUUAUUUGUUUUUUUUUUUUUCCUGUAUGGACGAAGAAAGCUUAGGUACGCACAAUCUAGCAGAGGUGAUGAUUGUUUUUGCAUACAUUUGUGGCUUUUUAUAUUGAUGAUCUCGAACUGUCAACAAAGAUGGCCUUUAUUAAAA